GUCUAUGGCCAUGCUACCCUGAACAAGCCCGAUCCCUUCUUAUCUCGGAAACUAAGCAGGGUCAGGCCUGGUUAGUACUUGGAUAGGAGACCACCUAGGAAGACCAGGUGCUGUAGGCA
rnacentral:rRNA from 1 species